CAAAAGCAUAUUUGCCAUAAGAUGGACUGUAACAGGAAUAGUUGAGAGCCAUUCCACACCCAGGAAGUUAGAAUGCUCUUUCAGGAGAUUAAAACUACCUGGAGCUCCUUCACUUUGAUGCCACCGUGGUCUGUGAUGAGCAGUGCAGCAUAAGCUGCAGAUUUAGUAAAUGGAGGGAAAUGGAAGAGGAACCACAGGCAUAAAAGAAAAGCAAAAAAAGAUUUAUUGCUAGUCAAGAGGCGUACUAGAAAGCAAUAAAUGAAAUGAC